CCUUGUACACACCGCCCGUCAAGUCAUGGGAGCGGGGAGUACCCGAAGUCCGCUUAGCUAACCUCACGGAUGCGGCGGCCGACGGUAAGCUCCGUGACUGGGACU
rnacentral:rRNA from 1 species